UGUGGUUGCUAAGGUGCCUGAUAUCAUAUGUCAAUGUGUAAGUUGAGAUGAAGCUGCUUUAGUUGUGGCUCAGAAGAUGGUUGAUGCAUUCAUGGCUGUGAGACCACUUCUCUUCAUGUUCAACUAAAUAGAGCAUCAAAUAGAGCCAGGGAAAUGGGGCGAAAACAUGUUGCAUCAUUUAUUCAUUCUGAUUUUAGGUGAAAUGUUGCUUCUACAACUCUAUUAUCUGUUGGCAGGACUGGAGAGUCUGCUUCUCAUGUCCCUCAUUUUUCAGAGGAUGUUGGACAGCCUCAACCUUCAGCCCAAUAGCAAGAUAAGGGUUUCGAUGAAAUUUCAACAAAAUGAAUGUGAUAUUUUGCAUUAUUACAUUAGAUACUUACACUAUGAUAUUUUUUAUA